GUUAUUUCUGGAGACAUUCAAUACAAUUGGAAAGAUAGAGGGAUAUUAGCAUGGUCCAUGCACAAGGGUGACACAUUUGGUAAUGAUAAUAAAUUUCAU
rnacentral:snRNA from 1 species